rnacentral:rRNA from 1 species
CCUACGGGAGGCUGCAGUGGGGAAUAUUGGACAAUGGGGGGAACCCUGAUCCAGCCAUGCCGCGUGUGUGAAGAAGGCCCUCGGGUUGUAAAGCACUUUCAGUGAGGAAGAACGCCUGGUGGUUAAUACCCAUCAGGAAAGACAUCACUCACAGAAGAAGCACCGGCUAACUCCGUGCCAGCAGCCGCGGUAAUACGGAGGGUGCGAGCGUUAAUCGGAAUUACUGGGCGUAAAGCGCGCGUAGGUGGCUUGAUAAGCCGGUUGUGAAAGCCCCGGGCUCAACCUGGGAACGGCAUCCGGAACUGUCGAGCUAGAGUGCAGGAGAGGAAGGUAGAAUUCCCGGUGUAGCGGUGAAAUGCGUAGAGAUCGGGAGGAAUACCAGUGGCGAAGGCGGCCUUCUGGACUGACACUGACGCUGAGGUGCGAAAGCGUGGGUAGCAAACAGGAUUAGAUACCCGAGUAGUC